CCAUGUGGUUCUCUGAAUGAACUAUAACAUCAAGAGAGUUUCAGUCAAAAGUUGUUUUCCAUUUGGUUAGCACAGAGAAAGAAAAAAAACUUUGAAUGUGUCAUUAAGUUUUUGUUUAUGAAGGUAGUUUUAAAGCAGAUUAUUUGUUUGUUCUCUAUACAACUUCCAAAGUCAGAUAUAAUUUCUUCCUCUUAUAUGCCCGAGGAAGGAUGUUAGGAAUGAGGAGAGUUUCCAAGGCUCAGAUUCCAGGAUGACAUUGCUGGCGUGCUCCACACAGGACAAGACUAAUUCCAUGAUAUUUGCCUCUCUUGAAUAAAUGGUGACUCAUCUCUGAACCUCAAAUUUCAGUCUCAGCUACCUAGGAAUCAGCAACAAUCAGAGAAAAGGGAUGUAGGGCAGUUACAGUAAAAACAAACAUAAGAACAGAAAAUCAAAGGGCAGCAAAAAAACAACACUGCCAAAUAAAACCUCCCCUCCCCUGCCCUUCCUUCCUUUUCUUUCCCUUUCUCCUUCUUAGGGGAAAGAAGCAGUGGGGAAAAGAAAAAAGAAAAAGAAAGAAAGAAAGAAAGAAAGAAAGAAAGAAAGAAAGAAAGAAAGAAAGGAAGAAGAAAGAAAGAAAGGAAGAAAGGAAGAAAGGAAGAAAGGAAGAAAGGAAGAAAGGAAGAAAGGAAGAAAGAAAGAAAGAAAGAAUUAAAAAAAAGAAAGAAAAUAAAAAAAAAACACUUUCUUUCCAGAAGUCUUUAAACCAUUGCAGCUGCCUUCUGCAGUGGAGUGGGAGAUUGCUGUGCAAGAGAGGACUCCAAAAACCAAGGAUAAAACAGUUCUCAAGAGAACAGAUCAUCUGACAAAGAGGAGCCUACUAACAAGGCCUUCUUGCUUCAGCAUCAAGAGGCAUCGUGCUCACAGACUUUCAUCUUGAUGGGAGAUUUCAACCGCAUGGAUGUAAGCUGGGAAAACAACAUGGAAGGUUGAAAAUAUUCCAAGAGACUGCUGAAGAUAACUACCUGGUCCAGGUAUUGGACAGAUCAACUAGAGGUGAAGCAUUGCUGGACCUGGUGCCCAGCAAUGCAGAGAAAAUAAUUGGAGAUGUUAAAGUUGGAGACAGUCUGGACUGUAGAGACCACGUCCUGGUUGAGUUCAUGAUCUCAAGAAACACAGGCCUAGCAAAGAAUUGAGUCAGGACCCUGAACUUCAGAAGAAGGAACUAUUGGCAGUUUAAGAAUUAUUGGAGAAGAUUCCUCUGAGAGACUGUUCUUAAGGACAUAGGAAAAAAUGUACCUGGUAGCUCUAUAAGGAUAUAUUUCUGAGACCUUUUCAACCCCCAGCAUAAUAAAUCAAAUACAGGAGGCGGGAAAUCAGCAAGGCUGAGCAAGAAUUGAUUGGUCAAAUCAAGGGACAAGAUGGAAAAGUGCAGAUGGUGGAAGCAGGGACAUAUGGCCUGGGAAGAAGGGAUGCCAUCCGGACAUGCAGGGAUGAGAUCAGAAAAGCCAAGAUGCAGGUGGAGCUGAACUUGAUGAGGGAUGUGAAAAAUAACAAGUCUUUCUUUAGGUAUACCGGUCCGAAGAGACAAGCAAACUGGCUUCAACAGACACGGAGAAGGAUGACGUACUGAAGAAGUUCUUUUCCUUGAUCUUCUCUGCUAGUUAGGCUUAUCAUGUCUCUUAUGUCCCUGAAACUCAAGGUAGGAGUCUUUCACGGUUUUAUGAUUUUUGGUUAUUGGUAUUCCACAUCGUAACAUCAUGUAGUGCACUGGGAGUUAAAGAGUUAAUGCUCCAAUUCUAGGCACCUGUCCGGAAAGAGAAUAACAACAUAUCCCAGAAGACUGCGUUCAGAGAGGAGAUAUAACCCCUGGCAGGGUCACCUGACUUCUCUUUUUUCCUUCAGCUCUCCUCCCUGCUGCUCGACCUGACUGCACAUCUCGCCUCAGCGUUGUGGUAUGGCCUUCAGUUCUUGGACACUUUCUCUCUCUUUCAUUACAUUUGAUUUAUUACCUUAGAUUCUAAUUGUAUUGUAUUAUAGUGUGUUAUCUUCCAUUCCAAUACUAUAUUUAGUAAAUUAGUUUGUUUCUCCUCAGAUCGUUGCUGCUAUUUUUCAUUAUUCAGGGUCCCCUGUUUCCCCUUUCAGAAGGUGUGGAUCUGUGGAUCCACAUUAGGAAGAAGUGAUGCCUGCAGAGAGACAUGGAUGGACUAGAGAAGUGGGCUGACAUGACCCCAGUGCGAUUUGGCAAGGCUAUGUGCAAGGUGUUACUUGUGUCACAUAUAUUCCUAUUAUGCAUGGGAGAAGAACUCAUUGAGAGCAGACCUGCUGAGAAGAACUUUGGAGUCCUGGUGGACAAAUAAUCCAGGCAUGAGCCGUUAGUGUGCACUUGCAUCUCAGAAGACAAACUGAAUCCUAAGCUGUAUCAAAUCAGGUGUGGUUAACAGUGCCAGGGAGGUGAUUGUCCUCUCUACUCUGCUCUUGUGAGCAUCUGGAGUACUGUAUCCAUGUCUGGGGCCCUAUCAGUGCAAUCACUGUGUGCAUUAUUUAUAAGUCUGACAUUGGUCUAAGCUGUGUAAAUGAGCACUGGUUAAUGCAGAGGAAAUGUAAAAAGUAUUCAAACUUUUAAACAUAGGGAAAUCAUAUUCAUUUAACAGGGAACAGCAAAGCUGGCUGUUUUAUUUUUCCUUUGUGUAUAAGAAACAUACACCAUUUUGCUUGACAUUCAGUAUGAAUAUGCAAAGGCUUUUGAUACAUCUGUUGUUAAUAUGCAAGAUAAUGAAUGUGCUUAAAAUUCUGCUCUUCUUGUCUGCUGAUUAAAUGAAAUAAGCAGAACAGUCCACCAUAUCUAUAUGCUUUAGAGGACCAAUGUUUGCAACAAAGUAGUAACUGUUCACAUUACGUUCUGUUUUAUUACUAUUUUCUGAUGGAAAACUGUUUUUUCAUGAAGCUCCAAAUUUUUCAAUGAAAAUAUCCACCACAAAAAGAAAAACAAAAACACUUAAUCUGUUAACCCUUCUUACUGCAUUUCAAAUGAAUAAUAUUACUGAAGACUGAAGGAGAUGUCUAAUAUUUUACAUUGCUUUCUGGAAAUAGUGGUGGUUCCUGUUUCCACAUGUUCUCCAGUUAUUGUGGAGAGGGAAUUCAUGCUUGGGUAAACACCAUGGCCAAGACACUACUGUUCCUCUCCUCACUUCUCUAAAAGGGUAAAAUAAUUAAACUUAUUAUUUCAUAAGGCAGUUUGGCAUAUAAUUUUGAUAUAAUCAUAUGGAACUCAAAUGACGUAAAGUUACACACAGUACAAAAAAUAUUGAGAUAGAAGCAUUUUCAAAAAUCUGACCAAUUCCAUUGUUUGUCUAAAAUUAAAUCUUAAAUCUUUAUGAAGAUGAAUCUAUAUUACAAUGAGUUACUGCAUUUUUUUUUCAUUAAAAUAUUGAGGGAUUCUAAUCCAUUAAUCCCGAUGUUAAUUAAAAAAAAUCGUUGUCAAAAUGAUAGACUGUUAUUAUUAUUAUCUUUUUUUUAUAUUCUUUUUCUUUUCAAUUAUAUCUACUCCUUAGAGAAGACACAACCCAGGUGAAUUAAUUUUUUCUCUCAAGAAAAUAGCGAGGACUGAGUUUGCCGAAGAGCUUCUAUAAAAGUGGAAAAAGACAAGCUCUCAUCUAAUAAUGUUCCUAUUAAUACACUUUUCUGUGUGUGCUUUUGCUUUGAACAUAUAACAGUAAUGAAAAAAUACAGUGGUAGACACUUGAUAUUUGUCUAUUUAUAUUUAUUUAUUAAUAUAUUAAUAUAUUAAACAAUAUUUAUAUUGUUUAAAAGGCAGCUAAUUUUGGAAUAAAUAAAUAAAUAAAUAAAUAAAUAAAUAAUCCCACAACACUCCAGAGUUCAGUAAAGAUGAAAGAUACCCCAUGAGAUUUAAGACACAAUUUGGUUGUGCAUUUUCAACCCAUAUGAGUAAGUAGGAAGGGAUGGCAAUGACAAACUUGCCACUAACACCACAUAAUGGUGCAAUGGGUCACUCUAGUCUGGUGAUGUAUGCUGUUGUACGAAAAAAAGAUUUUUCUAUAUCCACAUGAGUUAUUUAAAUUGCUCUUCCAUGUCAGAACACUGAGCCUACCACAGCGGUGGCCAGCAUAAUAUGGGAUAGGAUAUGAGGUCCCCAAGUUGUGGUGCUCCAGAGCCAUGGGGUGGAUUUUCUGCUAAUAUUAAGAAAGUGACACCCUAGCUACUUGAUCUGCUGUCUAAAUCAGUUCUCCAUCUACAAUAUUAACAGUACCAUACAUUGUAUGGUUAGAUUAAAUAAAGACUGAAAGCUCUUAAAUACAGAGUAUCAGAAUGCAUUAAAAUAGUUAUGCAUCAAAAUUAAAACAAGACAGUUUUAAAAUAUCUAUUGUGGACCGAAGAUCAGCUACAAAAGAAUGUGGUUCUGGAAGAAUGUUCUUUAUUUCUGGCAGCCCUAUGAAACUAGCAGUAGGACUGCUGGCACUGUCUUCUAGGUCUUGGGGGAUGCUUUUAAUCCAACAAGGCACUGCUAUUAUUAGGAAGGCUGCAGUGUAACUACACCAUCAUUGCAUUCUGUCAGUUUAGUUUUGCAUGAACCAUUUGGUUCAUGACGCUCUAAAUUUAAUACUGUGCUACAGAUAAACUAGAAACAGAAUAAAUAUUGUAAGAACAAAGCUGUCACAGAAACACACUCUGAGUGUUUCGACCCCAUUCAAAGGCCCUUCACUAUAAUUGUCUCUGACAGAAGGCCCCUGUACAGUGAGUACUUUAGUUGCCAAUGACCUUAAACACGAUUAUCAUUAGCCUUCUUGUAAUACUCUCUCUUCCUUGAACUCAAAUUACUGUGCUUCUCAGAUGGAUUUAUAAAGGCAGUUCAAUACUGUAGUUAGAAUAAUCCGAGCUGUUUGAAUCAAUGCUGUGUCCUUUGUAAAUAAAGCUGUUCUGAAAUGCAUGCUGUAAUAAUUAUAUCCAUAAUUUGUUACAGUUAUUGUAAUAAAUUUGACUAUAAUAAUUUGAAUUAUUGUUGCAAAGAAGCCACAAGGAUUACUUGAUUACUUAAUCAAGUAAUAAUUUAUGCUGAUAAAUAUAUCAGGGCCAUUCCUAAAGUUAGGGUUUGUUUAAGCCAAACAUUUAAAUAAUUAAACAGUUGUUCAGAGACAAUAAAGCUACUUUGACUUGAAAACAAAACUCACUUACCAUUUGUAAACGUGUAUAAACUUAAAAAAAAAAAAAAAGAGCAAAAGAAAAAUAUGUUUGUUUUUUUUUCCUUCACUCAUUGUUCCCAAACCUGACAGCCUGCCAAAGGCAGAGAAAAAAGCCCUUGACCAGACACCCUGAAAAGGUUCAGACAUUCUUUACUACAGAUCCCAUUAUUGAUGAUUUUAAUGGAGAUUGGAUGUGGUUUUGUUUUGUAUUGCUUCGUUUUCAUACCUAAAAUUUAACUUCUAAUUCAGAUAGAAGCCAGGGAAAGUCAGUAGUCCUUGUUAAUUACAGUUGUGACGGUAACCUGUAAUACUUAAUUUUUAGUUUUUCUUGUAACCAUUAUUCGUUUGCCUGUAUCAGAAAACAGGUGGGGCACCCAAUGUUUGAAAAAAUAAUAGCUGGUGAUGUAAUUUCAAUUUAGGCAUCUGAAAACCGAAUUUUCAAACUGCAUUUUAUUUUCUCUCUAUAUUAACUUACUGAUAAUUUAAUGGAAUGUAUGUUGGAUUUUUUUCUUUUUUUUUUUUUUUUUUAUUUAGCCAGAUACUAUUCUCAGCACUACAAAAUCACAAAGAUCAAAAUCUGUAUCAGCAGCAUGCAUACUCUGUGGGUUCACCAAGGCAUCACAACAUCAUUUAUUGUCUUAUUUUUCUCCUUUACCUUUUAUUUUCCUUCCUAAAUUUCAAAACAAAUAUAGAUAAAGUAAUUCCAG
ensembl:lncRNA